rnacentral:rRNA from 1 species
CCUACGGGGGGCAGCAGUAGGGAAUCUUCGGCAAUGGACGGAAGUCUGACCGAGCAACGCCGCGUGAGUGAAGAAGGUUUUCGGAUCGUAAAGCUCUGUUGUAAGAGAAGAACGAGUGUGAGAGUGGAAAGUUCACACUGUGACGGUAACUUACCAGAAAGGGACGGCUAACUACGUGCCAGCAGCCGCGGUAAUACGUAGGUCCCGAGCGUUAUCCGGAUUUAUUGGGCGUAAAGCGAGCGCAGGCGGUUAGAUAAGUCUGAAGUUAAAGGCUGUGGCUUAACCAUAGUACGCUUUGGAAACUGUUUAACUUGAGUGCAGAAGGGGAGAGUGGAAUUCCAUGUGUAGCGGUGAAAUGCGUAGAUAUAUGGAGGAACACCGGUGGCGAAAGCGGCUCUCUGGUCUGUAACUGACGCUGAGGCUCGAAAGCGUGGGGAGCAAACAGGAUUAGAUACCCGGGUAGUC